rnacentral:lncRNA from 1 species
AUGCCUGCACCUCCUGUCUUUUGGUCCAGGAGCCAUGACUUCGAGAAGAAUAGACGUAGCCAUAAAGAUUUCUUAUAUAUAGGUGAGUAUAAAUGUGUGUGUGUACGUUUGUGUAUGUACACAAAACAGAAGAUGGUGGUCAUGAUGCCAUGAUUCAUGUGGGGCCAGCCAUAUGUGGAGAUUAAGCAUGGGAUUGUUUUCAGAAAUUUCAGGGCCUACAUUAUACAGCUAAGAAAAUCCUUGGAAUCAUAGAAGCACAGAAUCUCCUGAGUU